UAUUUCACAAUGUGGGAAACCCUGAUGCAGCGACGCCGCGUGAGUGAAGAAGUAUUUCGGUAUGUAAAGCUCUAUCAGCAGGGAAGAAAAUGACGGUACCUGAUUAAGAAGCCCCGGCUCACUACGUCCCAGCAGCCGCGGUAAUACGUAGGGGGCAAGCGUUAUCCGGAUUUACUGGGUGUAAAGGGAGCGUAGACGGCAGCACAAGUCUGGAGUGAAAUGCCGGGGCUUAACCCCGGAACUGCUUUGGAAACUAUGCAGCUAGAGUGCAGGAGAGGUAAGUGGAAUUCCUAGUGUAGCGGUGAAAUGCGUAGAUAUUAGGAGGAACACCGGUGGCGAAGGCGGCCUGCUGGACGACAACUGACGCUGAGGCUCGAAAGCGUGGGGAGCAAACAGG
rnacentral:rRNA from 1 species